UACAGAGGCCUCGAGCGUUAUGCGGAAUCACUGGGCUUAAAGCGUGUGUAGGCGGAUUGGUAAGUACCUUGUGAAAUCCCACAGCUUAACUGUGGAACUGCUCGGUAUACUGCUGAUCUUGAGCCACUCAGGGGCUACCGGAACAAAUGGUGGAGCGGUGAAAUGCGUAGAUAUCAUUUGGAACGCCAAUGGUGAAAACAGGUAGCUGGGGGUGUGCUGACGCUGAGACACGAAAGCCAGGGGAGCAAACGGG
rnacentral:rRNA from 1 species